rnacentral:rRNA from 1 species
UGGGGAAUUUUGCACAAUGGGCGCAAGCCUGAUGCAGCGACGCCGCGUGGAGGAAGACGGUCUUCGGAUUGUAAACUCCUGUUAAACGGGAAGAAAGACGUAUGGCUAAUAUCCAUACGGAAUGACGGUACCGUUAGAGAAAGCUCCGGCAAACUUCGUGCCAGCAGCCGCGGUAAUACGAAGGGAGCAAGCGUUAUUCGGAAUCACUGGGCGUAAAGGGUGCGUAGGCGGUCUUUUAAGUCGAUUAUUAAAGCCCACAGCUCAACUGUGGAUCUGUAAUUGAUACUGAAAGGCUAAGAGGGUGGAAGAGAGAAGUGGAAUUCUCGGGGUAGCGGUAAAAUGCGUAGAUCUCGAGAGGAACACCGAUAGCGAAGGCAGCUUCUUGGUCCAUACCUGACGCUGAGGCACGAAAGCGUGGGGAGCAAACAGG